AAAAAAAAAAUUAGCCAGGCAUGGUAGUGCAUACCUGUGGUCCCAACUACUUGAGAAACUGAAGUAGGAGGAUCACUUGAGCCUGAAAGAAUUGAGACUGCAAUGAGCUGUUAUCAUUCCCCUCCUUUGGGUUUCUAAGUUAGACACAUGCAAUCAGCAUACCCAAAUCCUUAGCCCUGCACUGUCAGACUAUAUUUAAUAUAUCUAAGGCUCUAGACAGCCGUGAGAAAAAGCUUUGAGGUUGGAGCGCCAAUUAGGAAGGUGAGGAGACUAGGGCAUAAAGAGGAAAUCAGAUCUGCUAGACAAGACAUUACAUAGGCUUAAUAGGGACCUAUUUUUGCUUCUGAGACAUGAUGUCUCUUGUGGUGAAGACCUUGAACUAAUUAUCAAAAUGGAGGGAAAUAUAAUUUCUAGUAUUUGGAAGCUGUCCACAAGCCCAUGGUUCUCUGUAUAAUUCAUAUUAUUCUAAAUAUAAAACUACAUUGAAAGUAUUCUAAUGCUUCAGGAAAUUGAAAGUAAUUUUGAAAACCUUUCUCCUUUCUAGUUGCAGAAGUCUCAGAAGUUUUUAUUUUGAGAAUUGACACUUUACCUUCCAGUGGCCUUGAAGAAAGGAGAGGAAGGACAGCAGGGUUACCUCACCAGUCCAGCUCCAGCACCCCCUCACCCCCUUCCCAGAUCAGGAGACCUGAAGUCCAAAAUCAAGGUGUCAGCAAGGUUGGACCCUUCUGAGGGCUGUCAAGGAGAAAGCAUCCAGGCCUCUCCUGGCUUCUGGUGCCUGCCAGCAAUCCUUGGCUUUCCCCAGCUUGUCACAGGUUCACAUUUAUUUUCCGUCACUGGCAACCACAGCAGUCUGAAUUAUCAUCUCAGUGCAAAAAUAAAUGUUGGCUCAUGUUGGUAAUGAAGAGGUCAGUAAAAAAAAGAAAUCAAGCUGGGCAACAUUAGAAAUCAAGCUGAGCGUGGUGGAACGCACCUGUAGUCCUAGCUACUCAAGAGGCUGAGGCAGGAGGAUUGCUUGAGCCCAGUAGGUCAGGGUUGCAGUGAGCUAUGGUUGUGCCACUGCACUCCAGCCUGGGUGACAGAGCAAGAGACCCUAUCUCAAAAAAAUAAAAAGGAAUAAAAAAGAAAUCAUGUUUUGUUUUCAAUUUAAUAUUUGAGAAUAAAGUAUUUAAGUAAACCAGUGUGUUUUAAUCAGGGGGUUAACAAAAACGUAUUGAUGACUCUCUCAUUCAAUAUAAAAGAGUAAAAGUGACAUAUUCAAAUAGUCUCUUUUUUUAAUGGCUUCAUCUUGUAGAAGACCAGCUUCCAAAAUGGUCCCCAAAUUCCCUUCCCUUGAGUGUGAGUUGAAUCUGGUAACUUGCUUCUGACAAGUAGAAUAUAGCAAAGGUGAUGGAAUAUCAUGUCUGUGAUUAGGUCACAAGAGGUUGUAAUGCAGGCUCUCUCUCUCGCUGGCUUUGAUGAAGCUGCCAUGUUAGAGAGGCCCACAUGGCCAGGAACUGAAGGUGGCUUCCACCAACAGCCAGCGAGAAACUGAGGCCCUCGGUCCAGCAGCCUGUAAGAAACUGAAUCCUGCCACCAAUUGUUUAGAAGCGGAUCAGUGCCCAGUUGAACCUCGACUGCAGCUGGGUGAGACUCCCAGCGAAACCGUACCCAGAUUCCUGACACACAGAAACUGGGACAUAAUACACGCAUGUGGUUUGAAGCCACUAAAUGUUGGGGUAAUCUGUUACAAAGCAAUAGAUACUGAAUUCAACUCUGGUAAUAAAAGUCCCAUUAUAUAAAAAGCAGAAUUUUUAAAAAAUCAACAGAAUAAACAAACAGAAGUGAAGUCAAGGAGCUGUUCUGUGUACUCAAAGUACUUAAGUAUGUAAUUUACUU